rnacentral:lncRNA from 1 species
AUGGGAAAGAGAAGCUUUUGUUUGGUCUUUUUCUACAGAUAUGUGACCAAGGCAGCUUUGAAGCCGUUCCCAAGAAUCCUUCCUCCUUCUGUGGGAUGCCUUAUCUGUGGAGUUUCUGAUUCUGAACUUCGUUCUGCAGUCCUUCACUCUUGUGCCAUGCAGUUGAGGAAGAGUUGCUCAGUCCCUAUCCGAAGAUCGCCUUCAUGGAAAUCCAGGACAAACUACAAAGAAGAUGUCUGGACAAUACACCUUCCACUGCCAUUCGCCUCUCAAUCCAUUCUGCCUUCGAUUUCAAACAAGCUGAGCUGUAUGAAGCUAAUCGUCAAAGUUUAACAUCACAUUUUUGUAGAUUAAAGGACGUUUAUCCAUAUACUUUGUCAUUUAAGCCAUCUGCGAGAAAUCCAGUGUGAUGGAUGAGAAAGGACAGUCCCAGAGCAGCGUCUCCAAGGACUCCUAGGUUUGAGGCAGACACAAAGUCAAGCCUUGCUGGUCUCUUUGCACGCAAAGGGAUGUGAGAGCCUGUGGGGACCCUGCAGAAGUCAUGGGACUGGGCUGAACUGAGAGCUCCAAAAGGUUUCCUGUUUCUCCCUUUCUGGAUAUAAAUAGCGCAUUUGAAUAAAAACCUUUGCUGUUUACUUUUCUGCUGUUCU